GCUGGCGGCGUGGUUACACAUGCAAGUCGUACGAGAAACCGGAACUUCGGUUCCGGGAGUAAAGUGGCGCACGGGUGAGUAACGCGUAGGUAAUCUACCCUUGGGUUUGGAAUAACCCGCCGAAAGGCGGACUAAUACCGGAUAAGAUCUUUCAGAGGGAUCUGAAAGAUCAAAGGUGGCCUCUCCAUGGAUGCUACUGCCUGAGGAUGAGCCUGCGCCCCAUUAGCUUGUUGGUAGGGUAAUGGCCUACCAAGGCUACGAUGGGUAGCUGGUCUGAGAGGAUGAUCAGCCACACUGGAACUGGAACACGGUCCAGACUCCUACGGGAGGCAGCAGUGAGGAAUAUUGCGCAAUGGGGGAAACCCUGACGCAGCGACGCCGCGUGGGUGAAGAAGGCCUUCGGGUCGUAAAGCCCUGUCUAGAGGGAAGAAAUUCUCAAUGGAAUAAUACCUGUUGAGAUUGACGGUACCUCUGGAGGAAGCACCGGCUAACUCCGUGCCAGCAGCCGCGGUAAUACG
rnacentral:rRNA from 1 species